rnacentral:rRNA from 1 species
UACGAAGGGUGCAAACGUUGCUCGGAAUUAUUGGGCGUAAAGCGCACGUAGGCGGCAUUGCAAGUCCCAUGUGAAAUCCCACGGCUUAACCGUGGAAGUGCAUGGGAAACUGCAGUGCUUGAGUACUUAAGAGGAUCGCGGAAUUCCCGGUGUAGAGGUGAAAUUCGUAGAUAUCGGGAGGAACACCAGUGGCGAAGGCGGCGAUCUGGGAAGAUACUGACGCUGAGGUGGCGAAA